GCCGGGCACGCUGUCGCGUGCCUGUAUCCCACCUACUCAGGAGGCUGAGGCUGGAGGAUCGUUUGAGUCCAGGAGUUCUGGGCUGUAAUGAGCUACGCUGAUCAGGUGUCUGCACAAACUUUGGCGUCAAUAUGGUGACUUCCCGGGAGUAGGGGACCACCAGGUUGCCUAAGGAGGGGUGAACCGGCCCAGGUCGGAAAUGGAGCAGGUCAAAACUCCCGUGCUUAUCAGCAGUGGGAUCGUGCCUGCGAAUAACCACUGCACUUCAGCCUGGGCAACAGAGCAAGACCCUAUCUCU
ensembl:misc_RNA Metazoa_SRP Metazoan signal recognition particle RNA